CCGACGGCAGCAAUUCCGGCAGUCUCAACCGCUGCCGCCUCCCAAGUCGACCCACAUCCCCCAUCCUUCGCCUGCAACACGGCUUCACUAGUGUAUGCCAUCUCGCCGGCUCCACGACCGCUUGACAUCCCGGCGUUGUCCGCACUGGCAAGGCCGUGUGGCGGCGAGCGGCGGCGCACCGGAGAGCUGGUCAUGGGAGCCACGGGCAAGUGGUUGCUACCUCUCCGGCCAUGGGAGCAGCAGACGCGUAGGAAUCCGGGCCCGCUGAUCUUCGCGAGCCGAGCGGCGGCGCAUCUUCCGCAGGUCUCCGGCCACGCUGACAAGCGGGUGAAUUUGGGCGGGACGGACAAGGCCUUUAGCCAUGGGAGCGCACUGGUCCUUGAUUUGGAUGUCUAGCCAUGAUUACGAUGGUCAGCGAGCGUCAAUUUGGACGGCCAAGCCUGCAGUUGCCGUGUUGGUGGCGUAGCUCGUUGCGCUGGCCAUGGCGGCUCGCCGGGCUGUGCGACGCGACGGCUCCCACGGCUCCUCGCGCUGGGCAUGGCGGCCAGUUCGGCUGUCGAAGCGACGGCUCCCGCGGCUCCCGUGGAGGCAAAAAACGCACAGGCAGAUCCGAGCGUCUCCUCUCUACAGUGGCGUUCACAGUGAUCACCGGAGGCACGACGCAGCAAACGUACUCCCGCCGCCCAGAACCUGCUCGACGGAAUGCCCCUUAGAAAGAGAUGUGAAGAAGAUAGCGUUACAGUCAUCGACAGGUAGGACCCACGUUUUUUUUGCCACAUCAGCUGGUCAAAGUUUUUAUCUUCGCCACGUCAGCCCGACAGGUGGGGCCAAACUGUCAGUUUUCCUGUUUUUGCGAGCAAAUCGGACAAUCAGUGCUCCGCGUUACCGAUUAGGCACAAAGUUGGUGGUUUUUUGUGCCCUGGCACAAAUAUGGUACCAAGUUGCUACCCUAGCCCCAAGUAUGGUGAUUUUGCGUAAAUAACUCCCCUACUAGCCUACUGGCUGGUGUGUCUAUUUAUUUGGUGACUUUGAACGAUAAGAGGUUGAUUGGCCUUUAAAUUGGAGAUGUUCACCUCUGUAAGUGGGACUAUUUGCUAUAUUGAGUUAUGUGUCCCUGAAGAUAUUAGAAGUAGCAUUAAUACAGUAUUAAGAAAUUA